rnacentral:lncRNA from 1 species
AUUACUAUUAUUAUUAUUAAUUAUUAUAUUCCUGGAACUUAUUUUAUUACUAAAAUAAUAUUAUUACUAAACAAAAAAUUUUGUUGAAUUCGAGGCAAUUUUGAGCCACGAUAUUAUACUUACCGGCUACUUGCGAGGGCGCAUUUGUUGUCUCCGUCUUAAACACAUACGACAUGCCAAAAAAAAAACAUUAUCUAUAAUCAUAUCAUAUAAAAUGGCUUAAGGCCUUAAGCGCCGGCGAUUUUUCAAUAUUUUAAUUUUCAAGCGACAUAAUAUGGGUAUGUGAAAUAUUACAAAUUAAAAAUGUUCAUUUCUCACUAUCUACUGUUUUGCGGUAUUAGAUUUCAAUAAAAUUGAGUUGCACCAUAGAUAUUAACGACAUGGAUUAGAAAUAACGUAUGUCGUAUUCAUUGUGACUUGUCGGUUUUGCGGUCCAUCAUGGAUGAGAGAUCGAGGCCGUUUGCUUACUUUUUUAUACGUAUGAUUAUAUUAUUAUUCUAUGGUUGCACACACGGCUGCGUCGUGUGUCGUGUCGUGUCGAUCAAAUCGUAUUGUGAUUGGAUAUUACUUUUUUGCUAUCAUGUAAUAACCAAGUUGCAACCGAGUAUACCAAGAAUUGAAUACUGCUCAGCUUUUAAACCAUAUUGGUUACCAGUCGUAAUCAUAUAAUAACCAAGCCCUCGCACGACACAACACUCGACGUAAAUGUCGAAAUGUCACGUAAACUGUGAAUGCGCCUUUAAAAGAUAUAGGUACCUUAAGGUAUAUCUUAAACCGUGGUUGCUCACUUGCACGUCGGGCCCGGUAACCCUUUUACUCAUAGACCGGCCCAUCCUAUACCACGGACUAAGAUAGACUAUCUUAGUCCGUGUCCUAUACUAAAUACAUUGAUAGUCGCAUGCCAACAUUGCGCAGUGAUGCAGCCCAUUUAUGGAUCAGUGCUACCAUAAAAUCUUGAAUUCGGUGUAUUAAAAAAUAACUCAACUGGAUAACAGUAUUAUAAAAACGUGCGAAAACACUCAAAAACACUACGAGAUAAUAUUAUAUUAUAACAUUAUAUAACGAUUAUUUUUUUACCGUAUCAGAGUAACUCAGUAACCGAAAAGCGCCACCUAUCAUGACACGGCGGAAACGUGAAGAGGGCCGGUCUAUGAGUAAAAGGUCUAUGCCCGGUCACCACAUUACAGUGCUGCUAAUCAGGCCAGGAUCCAGCGGUCAGCCACACUGGCAUAAUGUUGGUAGUUCUCUCCGGUAAUUCCGGGUUCCCUGUCUUGCGAUUUUGUUGUUGUCGUAAUGUCGUUGUAAUGUUGUACUCAUGUACAAAACUUUAAACCGUCCGUACGCUGUACACGUCUGUGCCAACUGCUAAGCCGUUUAACCGUUCAUGGACACGAACACGAGUUCACACUUCACUGUUCUUCAAUCUUCAGUGGUUCACACGAGUACACGACACGAACACGAAGUCACGGAGUCUCUCCAGACGUGACAGACUGAUAUUUUAUCGCAGUUGAAGCUGACUAGUAAGACUGGUAAAAGUGGCUGCAGCACCACAAGGAACAGUCCAUUACCGCUGUCCCGGUCCUGGUCUAGAGAAAUCCUGUGGUCUGUGAAACUGCAGCAUCAACACCAAAUUAUGUAAGGAUAAUGGAUAUAUGUCUUUGAUAUUGAUAAAUCUCAUUGCACACGUUAUUUUCGGGAGGUCGUUGGAACCACAAACGCCAAAUGCUGUAAAGAUAUAUUUGUAAACAAAAACAUUCAAGUUUUUGGUAUUGAUAAAUCUAAUUAAGCAAAUUAUUAUCAGGAGGUAUAGUAGAACCACUACCGUCACCGGCCAACACUAAUCAAUAAAAAUUUUGUUUUUAUUAAUUGAUCUUAAACAUCGGUAACUGGUGAAUAGCAAUUUUGUGGGGAGAGGUUGGAAGUUUGGAACACAUGUAUAUGUGGGGCGAAGCACACAUUAUAGUGACUGCAGCCAACCACCGUGUCACACAAGCCCCCGAAAGAGAGGUUUAUUUAUUAACAAAAACAUGUUUUUUAUUUUAUUUCUUUUUCUUUUGAACUGAAUAUUUUUAUAUUUAAUAUUGUAUUAUUUUGUAUGUUGUAUAUUAUACCUAUUACAUGCGUGUACAGUUCGAAUGAUUUUUAAAUUUUUAUUGAUUAAUAUAUUCAUACAAUUACAGCUCAACAAAUAGAAAUUACGCGUCUGGACGUCUGGGGUGUAAAGAAGAACAAUAGGAUACUAUGGUAAGUAGUAAAACUGUUUGACAAGUUACCAAUGACUUUACCAACAGGUUCAGGGAUAUCUAGACAUUGUAGAACGGUAUGAGUCAACUUAUCCUAUGGAUAAAUUUAACUAAGAGUUAUCUAUAGGUGGUAGAACCGGCCCUAAGUCAUUUAAAUAGAAAAUUGUGUGAAAAUAAAAUCAUACUUUUUAUUUACCAAUAAUAUUAUUAUAUGAAAUAAUGUAAUAUUAAAACAUAAAAUCAGGUAAGUCGCAUAUAAAUGCUAAAAGGUUGCUGAUAAACUAAAUGAAAAUAUAAUAUACCUAAGGGAUUGAAAGGUAUAUGUGGAGAUUUACAUGUAACAAAUAGGUUAGGUUGGUUAUGCAUAUUAGGUAACUGCACAAGAAUGUUAAAUGCUACAUGUUUAGUGACUGUUUUGAUCUGUUUUACCGAAAAUUUGUUAAGUUUAAUUUGGUACAUUUCAAUAAAGGUUCAAGUAAGUACCUAGUAUUUUUUUUAUAAAUUUAAUUAAUUAAUUUAAAAAAAAUAUAUAUAUUAUUAAUUCUGAUUCCACCAUCGUUCAGGGGCGGCUCCAGAGACUUGGUUAGGGAGGGGCCAAGUUAUAAUUUCACAAAAUCUUAUAACAAAAAGAAACAACAAUUUUUACAACACAAAUUCAAGUCGUCUAUUUUUAGUCCAUUUACCUAGCAGGUACAUCGUCAUAACUCUAUGGCCCAUAUAGUCCAUAUGACAAUAUUAUAAUAAUUUAAUAUGCAUUUUUUGUUAACAAUAUACAUUUUUUAUAAAUACGGGCUUGGGGGGGUGCGGCCUCUAGGCCCCCCAACGUUUCAUAUUUCUAGAUCCGCUCCUGUUGCUAAUACACAUACAUUAUACACGGGGUAUAAUCCAUCAUGUUUUUACCGUUUGUAUUGUGAUAAGUAGGGCUCGGAAGUUGUAGAAGCUAAAAAAUGUAAAAUAUGCACGAAAAAAUUGCAAAAUAUAUAUUAAAAAUGUUAAAUAUGCGUAUAAAAUCAAUGAAAUAUGCACUUUUUUAGUUAAAAUUGGGGAAAUAUGCAUUUUCAAUUUUUUUAACUCUCAAUUGUAUGCCUACCUACUUCAAAUUUCUAUUUCUAUCUAAUUAGCUAGGUCUGCUAUAAAUUGAGAUCAUAUCAGAACAAUAAGUAUUUCGGCAUACUAGCAUGAUAGACUAAAUGCGUGUCACAAUAUCACUGUUAUUAACUCCGUAAUUGACUAUGGCGAUGACAAUAAAUACCUUCGUUGAUAAUUUUAAGUUUUAUAUUCAAUAUUAGUUGAAAUAUAAAGGUCAAGAAAGAAAAAAAUCAAUUUUUUUAGAAAAAUAUAAAAUGCAUA